rnacentral:rRNA from 1 species
GCCUUCGCCACGCCCGCUACAGAAACUCAAAGGAAGUUCGACGGGGGCCCGCACAAGCGGUGGAGCAUGUGGUUUAAUUCGAUGAUACGCGAGGAACCUUACCUGGGCUCAAAUGUAUGUUGACGUAUUCUGAAAGGGAUACUUCUUCGGACAAUAUACAAGGUGCUGCAUGGUUGUCGUCAGCUCGUGCCGUGAGGUGUCGGGUUAAGUCCCAUAACGAGCGCAACCCCUAUCAUUAGUUGCCAUCAGGUCAAGCUGGGGACUCUAAUGAAACUGCCUACGCAAGUAGUGAGGAAGGUGGGGAUGACGUCAAAUCAGCACGGCCCUUACGUCCAGGGCUACACACGUGCUACAAUGGCCGGUACAAAGGGCAGCUACCUGGUGACAGGAUGCUAAUCUCAAAAGCCGGUCUCAGUUCGGAUCGGGGUCUGCAACUCGACCCCGUGAAGUCGGAGUCGCUAGUAAUCGCAGAUCAGCAACGCUGCGGUGAAUACGUUCCCGGGCCUU